rnacentral:rRNA from 1 species
CAGGACUUGACAUCCCUCUGACAGUCUCUUAACCGAGACGUCCUUCGGGCAGAGGUGACAGGUGGUGCAUGGUUGUCGUCAGCUCGUGUCGUGAGAUGUUGGGUUAAGUCCCGCAACGAGCGCAACCCUUGUCUUUAGUUGCCAUCAUUUAGUUGGGCACUCUAGAGAGACUGCCGAGGAUAACUCGGAGGAAGGUGGGGAUGACGUCAAAUCAUCAUGCCCCUUAUGUUCUGGGCUACACACGUGCUACAAUGGCUGGUACAAAGAGAAGCAAGACGGUGACGUGGAGCAAAUCUCAAAAACCAGUCCCAGUUCGGAUUGUAGGCUGAAACUCGCCUACAUGAAGUUGGAGUUGCUAGUAAUCGCAGAUCAGAAUGCUGCGGUGAAUGCGUUCCC